CCUACGGGAGGCAGCAGUGAGGAAUAUUGGUCAAUGGCCGAAAGCCUGAACCAGCCAAGCCGCGUGAGGGAAGACGGCUCUAUGGGUUGUAAACCGCUUUUGUAGGGGAGUAAAACCAACCACGUGUGUUUGACUGAGAGUAUCCUAAGAAUAAGCAUCGGCUAACUCCGUGCCAGCAGCCGCGGUAAUACGGAGGGUUCAAGCGUUAUCCGGAUUUAAUGGGGUUAAAGGGUGGGGAGGCGGAAGGGUAAGUUAGGGGGUAAAUUCCGGGGCUUAACCUCGGAAUUGCCUUUGAUACUGUGCGGCUAGAGUGCAGGAGAGGUAGGCGGAAUGCGUGGUGUAGCGGUGAAAUGCUUAGAUAUCAGGCAGAACACCGAUGGCGAAGGCAGCUUACCGG
rnacentral:rRNA from 1 species